rnacentral:rRNA from 1 species
ACGGAGGGGGCAAGCGUUGUUCGGAAUCAUUGGGCGUAAAGGGCGCGUAGGCGGCCUGGCAAGUCGGAUGAGAAAUCCCUCGGCUCAACCGAGGAACUGCACUCGAUACUGCCGGGCUAGGGUCCGGGAGGGGAUGGUGGAAUUCCCAGUGUAGCGGUGAAAUGCGUAGAUAUUGGGAAGAACACCGGUGGCGAAGGCGGCCAUCUGGACCGGUACUGACGCUGAGGCGCGAAAGCGUGGGGAGCAAACAGGA